UACGAACCGAGCGAACGUUGUUCGGAAUCACUGGGCUUAAAGGGCGCGUAGGCGGGCUGUCAAGUCUGGGGUGAAAUCCCGCGGCUCAACCGUGGAACUGCCUCAGAUACUGACGGUCUCGAGGGGGAUAGGGGCGAGCGGAACUAAUGGUGGAGCGGUGAAAUGCGUUGAUAUCAUUAGGAACUCCGGUGGCGAAGGCGGCUCGCUGGAUCUCUUCUGACGCUGAGGCGCGAAAGCUAGGGGAGCAAACGGG
rnacentral:rRNA from 1 species